UACGGGAGGCAGCAGUGGGGAAUAUUGCACAAUGGGCGCAAGCCUGAUGCAGCCAUGCCGCGUGUAUGAAAAAGGCCUUCGGGUUGUAAAGUACUUUCAGUCGUGAGGAAGGUGUUAAGGUUAAUAACCUUAGCAAUUGACGUUAGCGACAGAAGAAGCACCGGCUAACUCCGUGCCAGCAGCCGCGGUAAUACGGAGGGUGCGAGCGUUAAUCGGAAUUACUGGGCGUAAAGGGCACGCAGGCGGUUAAUUAAGUUGGAUGUGAAAUCCCCGGGCUUAACCUGGGAAUGGCAUUCAAGCUGGUUAGCUAGAGUCUUGUAGAGGGGGUAGAAUUCCAUGUGUAGCGGUGAAAUGCGUAGAGAUGUGGAGGAAUACCGGUGGCGAAGGCGGCCCCUGGGCAAAGGCUGACGCUCAUGUGCGAAAGCGUGGGGAGCGAAACAGGGAUUAGAU
rnacentral:rRNA from 1 species